UACAGGGGGUGCAAGCGUUGUCCGGAAUUAUUGGGCGUAAAGAGCUCGUAGGCGGUUUGUCGCGUCGGCUGUGAAAACCUGGGGCUCAACCCCGGGCCUGCAGCCGAUACGGGCAAACUAGAAUUCGGUAGGGGAGACUGGAAUUCCUGGUGUAGCGGUGAAAUGCUCAGAUAUUAGGAAGAACACCGGUGGCGAAGGCGGCCAUCUGGAUCGGUACUGACGCUCAGGCGCGAAAGCGUGGGGAGCAAACAGG
rnacentral:rRNA from 1 species